GCUGCCGGCCAUCGUGGAGCUGGUGGCCGGGUUCCUGGGCCAGAGCCCCGAGGACGUCGCGCUCGCUACUGCCUUCAACGCGCUGAAGAUCUUCGGCCUCAGCCAGUAGGGCGCCAUCCACUGUCCAGUCAACGUCCUUGGUAAACUAAAUCUUGGGUUUAAGGACAAAGGAAUAGGGACACGUAGUGCGGACUAUUGUAGCUACAGACAGGGCCCGUUACCGGUAUAACUAAAUAUCACAUAUCAUUCACAAUAUUUUUUUGCUGUUCUAGAAUACUAAAUUAAAUGCGAAAAUAUACAUUAACAACCCCGAUACCGACAUUGAAUACGGGUUAAUUUGAAUGAAAAAUAUACCGAUACCGGUCCCUGGCUACAGCUGGUGUAGACGGCAUUCAAUGUUUAUCAGAUGACUGGCUUGUUAUAUGUUAUCGCUUCAGCACCUAAGUAGUUAAACACCGUUGGGUAUCAUUUCAUUGCGCGUUUUAGUACCCACUACUCUCAUCUGAUCACGUUCGGUACAAAACUUGGAACGAGUUUUCGUACUUGUCGCGACUUUACUCGUUUAAAAAAAACAGGAUUGGAUUCUAAUAAAUUUCCUGUAUUUUUUUUUUAACUAUAAAAUUAUAUUAACAUAAAAUUGUCUUUGUUACAUGGGUUUAAAUAGCCACCUCUUAUUUAGUUUACCAAGGAACACAUACGCAAUAUUUAGGUAUCCUUGCUUAUAAUUGAGAAAUUAAUAUGCAUAAUAUAUUUAUUUUUUAUAAUUAAGUAAGACGACGAAAUUAUAAAUGGGUCAAGGAAUUAAGUGCCUUUAAUCAACAAUAAGAGAUCGAUUAUUAGAACGACCAAAAAAUAAUGUUUAUAAAUAUCAUUAUUUAUUAAUCUUAUAUAAUCAUGUAACAUGAAUUAUAUAUAGGUUGCUAUAAGCGACCGGUCGUAAAGGUAAAAUAUUGUUUGUAUGUUGUAUGAUAAACCCAAAAAAUAUGGACUAAGUAUAAUGUUUAACCCGUUGGCUACUAGCGUCACUAAAGUUGACGACAACGUUAACCUUUUGAACGCCACAGACGGUAAUUGACGUCAACGCAAAAACGCCGGCGAAAGUCUGGAAAAGCAAUACUCAGAUACGGAAACGUGACAACGAUGCCAAAGAUGGCACUUGAUGUCGAUCGUUUUUUGAUAAAAAUCUACUGAAAAACACCCCACUUUUGGGUCGGCAUUAUUUAUUCACAAACAAAAUUUUACCCCCGUGGCGUCAGUGGCACGGCAAAUGGAUGCGCCGUUUGGCGUUCAAAGGGUUAAAUAAUGAAUCUUAUGAUAAUGUCGAUUCAUUCUCGAUUAUAUAUGCUAAUAAUGAUGUCAAUUAUUGGUUAAAAUGGUCUUAACUCACUAUUGAGUAAUGGCGUAUGUUUUGAUGGUAUCUUCAGACGUUAUUAAUUUAAGAAUACGAAGUGGCCGUAGCUAAAUUAAUUUAUUUGAAUUAAUUGGAAAUCGCAGACCAAAUGUAACAGAAAGAUAUUUAAAUAUUUAAGGAAAAAGGUUCUUGUAAGUUUUAAUUUUAUUGAUAGAGUACCGGUCUCUGUCAAAAAAACAUUCAUGUGCCCUAAUCCUUGGUGCCAUUGACAUUAUCUAAAGCUAUAAAUAUAUGUUGUCCAGGCAGCUAAAACAUAGUAUAAUUUCUACCCGCCUAAACGUCAAUGUGAAAACAAAGGUCCAGAAUAGAAGGACCUUUUUAUAGGCCUCUGGGCGGCUAGAGUAUAAAACAAUUAAUGUAUGUCGUUGGCAUCAAGUAUCGGGUUUACAUUGGACUCGGCAACUGCGUAAAUUAGGCCUCAGCUACGGCCGGCGAAAGUCUCGAAAAGCAAUACUCAGAUAUGGAAAAGGUGUGCAUUUCUGAUCUAAAAAUUGGCAAUACGAAGGUUGAUCGAAUGGUUAGGCUAACAAUUAAUUUUAAAGCAAUAUUCAUUUAGUGACUUGACCCUUUAAACGCUGGUAUAUAUUCUUGACGUCAUAACACGUCAGAAGCAUUUAAAGGGUUAAAGUUUGAACUGAUUGCAUUCGAAUAGUCUUGCCAUUGACUAAUGACUAACUAUAUGUUCAAUUGGCUAUGAAAACUAAUAUACUGUGACUUAUCGAGUCGUUAUUGGCUCUCUCUAAUAUAAUUAUGACAGAAUGACAAAUUGAAAUGAUUAUGAUUACAUUUAAUGAUUGAAAAAUAAAACGUGAGUAUUUGGGACGAGCGUUAAAACCACUAUGACAAAGAAGAUAUGCCACUUUAUUGAAAAAAAAUUGGUUUAGUAUUGCCAGGCUAAAAAAAGUUCACACUACCCACGUUUUAUUUUUAUUAAGAGCGUACCUGAACGCAAUGUUCACUAAUUAAUGCCAUUUAUAAACGCUCACGAACCGAGCAUAAUAUGACGCGAUUUAUUAUUAUUGUCUAUUUUUAAUUAUGAAGCUUUUUAUGUUGUUUAGCGUUUUGCACAAGUGUUUCCUUAUAGUGGCAACUUUGCUUUUAGUCAGAAUGAUCUCAAGUCCGUGUGUGUAUGCCUUGAUAAAUACUUGCCAUUUGUGGCCUUUAAUUUUACUAUAGACCGUAGGCAUUUUUAAACACUACUUUCGUACCAUAACUUUGCCAGAUAAGGACGGGAGUAGUAACCCUUUCCUCGCUAAUAGUUCCAUAAAACUUUGCAACAAAGAAUAAUAUAAUCCAUAUUCAAAGUUAUAAUUAUUUUGAAAAUUUUCGCCACUACAAUUGCACGUAAUUGAGGGCAAAGGACCCAUAAAAAAGUCAUUAAUUUAAAUGACAAAUAUUAGAGAAUGGAUCCUUUUCGCUAAACUUUGUCCAAUGCCCGACUAUAAACGUCAUUAGCAUUGAAAGGGUUAAAGUCAAGGUCAUAUUACGAACAGUUCCAAAUAUCGACGCAUCACGACUCCGUCUGGCGAUUUGUCGCCAUAUUGUUUAAGAUGUACGUCUCCGGAGUUGCGCUGCGUUCUGCCAUUAGAUUAUAAGCAUAGUUCAUAUUGCCUUCAGUAAGCUAUAAGAGUCGAAGCAUUUGCCUCGGACGAGACAUGUCUACACCGACAAGUUGCCUCGUGAGGCGGCUUCCGUUUGUAAAAUCAAUAAAAUGAAUUCAGCUAACGAAAAUGCUUAUCAAGCGCCUUUUAUUCUGGUUUUGAGCCUUGUUUUCUAAGCAGUAAAAUGCGAAAAUGCUAAACAGUCUUAUGGCUAACUGUGUCCGAGUACUGUUGCCACUAUUUCUUCCGUGCACGGUGGUAGUUCUAAGCAUAGCUCUGCGCAGAGUACUAUAUUUUCAUCGAAUACAUUAUAUUGUAAAUAGUUACUUAUAUCCUUGUUGAAUAAUGCUGGUAGUCACAACGAAAUCAAAGACUGCAAGUAUUAUUGGAGAAUUAAAUGUUAAUUGUUUUGUACUGUAUUUUUUACAUAUUUAAUCGCUAAAGUAUUGUUGAUUCCUUUAUUUUUUGACAAUCAUGUUGUAGUUGUAAGGUACCCGGGUGUAUUUGCUAAGUGUUACAAGUGAUUAUGUAAAUUAUAUAGUUAUUGUAAAUACGUACCCGCGGGUAUAGUAGUGCCUUCGACAAAACGUCCUUUUGUGAUAAAAUAUUAUUUUCUGUAGAUUGUACAGAUUAUUUCUUUCAAUAUACAAUUAAAUAAAA